GCACUGUUGAAGAGUCCCAUACUAGGAUGAAACGGCCGUCCAGUGU
rnacentral:hammerhead_ribozyme from 1 species